CCUGUUGACUCCUCCCCUUCGUCGGUACACCUCCACCUGUCUGAUCAGAGACAGCUGAUCUAUGUUUACACCUGCACACAGGUGAAGGUGUGGACGCAGGAAGGGGCGGAGCUCUUCAGCAGCGGUGAGGACGGCUCCGUGGUUCUGGGACUUCUGGAGGAAUCUGUAUGUUCUCUGACGGACGGGGGUCUGGUCAGAAUAUUUCAUCCUGUGAACGACGCUGUGGAGACUCAGCUGGAAAACUGUCUGACACGUUUGAGUCUGGUGAAAACGGCCGUUUCACCGAAACGUGGGACGCUGUUUGUGGCCACGAGAGACGGCGUCCUCCAUCAGAUUUCCAGGACUGGAAAACACUCGGCUGUCGAGUUUCCUCUGGUUCCUUCGUUACUUUCUGUUACUGAAGAUGAGAAAAUACUG